GACGACCGCUGGCCGGCGUGCUUAAUACAUGCAAGUAGACCGCUUAAAGAGGAGCUGCUUUCUCUGGAUGAGUGCGACGGUGAAGUAACGCGUAGGUAACCUGCCUGGUAGCGGGGGAUAACUAUUGGAAACGAUAGCUAAUACCGCAUAAGAGUAGAUGUUGCAUGACAUUUGCUUAAAAGGUGCAAAUGCAUCACUACCAGAUGGACCUGCGUUGUAUUAGCUAGUUGGUGAGGUAACGGCUCACCAAGGCAACGAUACAUAGCCGACCUGAGAGGGUGAUCGGCCACACUAGGACUGAGACACGGCCCAGACUCCUACGGGAGGCAGCAGUAGGGAAUCUUCGGCAAUGGACGGAAGUCUGACCGAGCAACGCCGCGUGAGUGAAGAAGGUUUUCGGAUCGUAAAGCUCUGUUGUAAGAGAAGAACGAGUGUGAGAGUGGAAAGUUCACACUGUGACGGUAUCUUACCAGAAAGG
rnacentral:rRNA from 1 species